UACGUAGGCAGCAAGCGUUGUUCGGAGUUACUGGGCGUAAAGAGUGUGUAGGCGGUUUGCCAAGUUUGGUGUGAAAUCCCUCAGCUUAACUGGGGAACUGCGUCCGAUACUGGAUGGCUUGGAUUUGGGAGAGGGAUGCGGAAUUCCAGGUGUAGCGGUGAAAUGCGUAGAUAUCUGGAGGAACACCGGUGGCGAAGGCGGCAUCCUGGACCAAUAUUGACGCUGAGGAGCGAAAGCCAGGGGAGCAAACGGG
rnacentral:rRNA from 1 species